rnacentral:misc_RNA from 1 species
AAGUUGAGCUGCCAUAGCAU